GUCCUCUAGAGAGCUGACUAUGUGGAGGAUUUCCUGAUGGAAUUUCUGGAGCCUCGCUGAUCUGCUCCAUACAUGUUGCUGAAGGAGUUACUCUGGAGCUCAGGGGAGGGUUACUUCUUGGUGGUUUGCAGGACAGCUCUGCCUGCCUCCCAGGGACAGGAUCUCUCUCUCAUCCUGACUGGAGUACAGUGAUGACAUCCCAGCUCACCGCAGCUUCGACUUUCCAGGCUCAGGUGAUCCUCCCACCUCAGUCUCCUGGGAGACUACAGGAGAGAGGCAGGAGAAGAUCUACCCUGCUGGCUUUGAAGUUGGAAGGGUGCCACAAGCCACAAGUGAAGGAAUGUGGGCAGCCUCUAGAAGCUGAAAAAGGCAAGAAAGUGGAUUCUUUCUUAAAACACCCAGAAGGGAACACUGCUCUGCAGGCACCUUGAUUUCAGCCUUGUGAGACCCAUUUUGGACAUCUGACCCCCAGAACUGUAAGAUAAUAAAUCUGUGUUGUUUGAAGCCAUC
rnacentral:lncRNA from 10 species